UCUCCAAUAAACAUCUCUAAUGAGGGAGGAGGCCGGAGGAUGGCUGGAUUUGAUUUAUGACUAGAGGAGAAGGUCCACUUCCCACAGCGAAGUGGGCAACCUGCUAGCUCCUCAGCUCCAGAGAAAGGAACUCGAGGAGGAGAGGACCCCGAUUCAGUGUCGGAAGAAGGCCUGCAAGUAACGAAAUUAUGGAGAGGAUAUUGGAUUGCCCACAGAGAAUCAGAAUCAACACAUGGGGAGCAGCCAAGGGAGACUCGACACUUCCGAGAAGUGUCCUCAGGUGGGCCUCAGGACAGACAGCUCCAGUGGAAGAGAGUGGGGAGCCCCUGAGCACCAGUGGCCAGCAGAAUGGCUCACACCACCUGUAGCUACUACCAGGUUCCCAUUCUAAUUCAGGCAUCUGCUCUUCUACAAGUGGCAAUUUGUUUCCGGGAAGGCAGACUCUAUCUCCAGUCUCCAGCGUAAAAGACGAUCAGGCUUAGUUAAUACAGCAGUCCAUUCCCCUGGCCAGUGACUGGAAGAGUGAUGGAAUGAGACGCAAUUCUGGCUAACGCAAGGGCAAGUCUGAGGGCGGGCUUUGGGGGAUGGAUUUUUGUGAUGACAGAAAGAGGUACUUUGCAGCGCCCUCUCUGCUUCUACCAUAUGUUGUCAUUCCUGCCUCUGCCAUGUAAACUGCCAUAGCU